AAUACCGUAGCUCAGUGGUUAGAGCAUCCGACCGGUGUACGGAAGGUCAUGGGUUCGAUUCCCGUCGGGGACUCAGAUUG
rnacentral:tRNA from 1 species